UUUCUACUCCCUUCGUCCGGAAAUACUUGUCAUCAAAAUAAAUAAUAUGGGAUGUAUCCAGAUGUAUUUUAGUUCUAGAUACAUCACCUUUUAUCCAUUUUGAUGACAAGUAUUUUCGGAGGGGGGAGUAUAAA
rfam:Triticum aestivum genome assembly, contig: Triticum_aestivum_CS42_TGACv1_scaffold_158137_2DL